ACGAACGCUGGCGGCGUGGAUAAGACAUGCAAGUCGAACGGGAGAAUUGCUAGCUUGCUAAUAAUUCUCUAGUGGCGCACGGGUGAGUAACACGUGAGUAACCUGCCUCUUAGUGGGGGAUAGCCCUGGGAAACCGGGAUUAAUACCGCAUACGAUUGAAAGAUCAAAGCAGCAAUGCGCUAGGAGAUGGGCUCGCGGCCUAUUAGUUAGUUGGUGAGGUAACGGCUCACCAAGGCGAUGACGGGUAGCCGGUCUGAGAGGAUGUCCGGCCACACUGGAACUGAGACACGGUCCAGACACCUACGGGUGGCAGCAGUCGAGAAUCAUUCACAAUGGGGGCAACCCUGAUGGUGCGACGCCGCGUGGGGGAAUGAAGGUCUUCGGAUUGUAAACCCCUGUCAUGUGGGAGCAAAUUAAAAAGAUAGUACCACAAGAGGAAGAGACGGCUAACUCUGUGCCAGCAGCCGCGGUAAUACAGAGGUCUCAAGCGUUGUUCGGAAUCACUGGGCGUAAAGCGUGCGUAGGCUGUUUCGUAAGUCGUGUGUGAAAGGCAGGGGCUCAACCCCUGGAUUGCACAUGAUACUGCGAGACUAGAGUAAUGGAGGGGGAACCGGAAUUCUCGGUGUAGCAGUGAAAUGCGUAGAUAUCGAGAGGAACACUCGUGGCGAAGGCGGGUUCCUGGACAUUAACUGACGCUGAGGCACGAAGGCCAGGGGAGCGAAAGGGAUUAGAUACCCCUGUAGUCCUGGCAGUAAACGGUGCACGCUUGGUGUGCGGGGAAUCGACCCCCUGCGUGCCGGAGCUAACGCGUUAAGCGUGCCGCCUGGGGAGUACGGUCGCAAGAUUAAAACUCAAAGAAAUUGACGGGGACCCGCACAAGCGGUGGAGUAUGUGGCUUAAUUCGAUGCAACGCGAAGAACCUUACCUGGGCUUGACAUGUAAUGAACAACAUGUGAAAGCAUGCGAAUCUUCGGAGGCGUUACACAGGUGCUGCAUGGCCGUCGUCAGCUCGUGUCGUGAGAUGUUUGGUUAAGUCCAGCAACGAGCGCAACCCCUGUUGCCAGUUACCAGCACGUCAAGGUGGGGACUCUGGCGAGACUGCCCAGAUCAACUGGGAGGAAGGUGGGGACGACGUCAGGUCAGUAUGGCCCUUAUGCCCAGGGCUGCACACGUACUACAAUGCCCAGUACAGAGGGGGCCGAAGCCGCGAGGCGGAGGAAAUCCUGAAAACUGGGCCCAGUUCGGACUGUAGGCUGCAACCCGCCUACACGAAGCCGGAAUCGCUAGUAAUGGCGCAUCAGCUACGGCGCCGUGAAUACGUUCCCGGGUCUUGUACACACCGCCCGUCACAUCAUGGAAGCCGGUCGCACCCGAAGUAUCUGAAGCCAACCGCAAGGAGGCAGGGUCCUAAGGUGAGACUGGUAACUGGGAUG
rnacentral:rRNA from 1 species